UGACAAGAGGCUAAAGAGCGAGGGGU
rnacentral:piRNA from 1 species